AAGUCGUAACAAGGUUUCCGUAGGUGAACCUGCGGACCCCGCUACCAGUCGAAACGACCAACCUGCGCAACCAUUACGUGUUGAGCGGCGUCGUAAACCGAAAUACUUGAACAACUGUUAACAAUGGAUAUCUUGGUUCUC
rnacentral:misc_RNA from 1 species